UCGAGCGAUCUCGACUACCACACGUUGCACGUAGUCGCGGCGUGUGGAGGGGAAAAGGUGAAAUACUUGCUGACGAAGAAACAGAGGAGCCGAAGUACAACCACUAACGUGACCUGUAGCUGCUGUCUUCAUAGAGUAUUUUUUUUCUUUUUAGAAGCUCGCCCGGGCACCACCACGAACACCAACAGUGCCGUCUGCUAGACUCUGGUGUAUCCACAGAGUAGACAUUGGGUCGCUUGUCUUCUGAUGUCGCACUUGUGCAGCUCGUUGUCGAGGACUCCACCACGGGGUGGAGCGAUAUCUAUGCCGCGCGAUUUGUCGCAGACCCCCGCCAUCUCUCGACUUGGAAGCACCGUGAAGACGCCGCACAUCCAAAAGUGUGUCGUUGACCAAACAGAGGACGAUGAUCAUCCACUGGAGCACAUGACGGUCUAUUUCGAGGAGGAGGACCUUAGACUGGUUACUACCGGGCUGCUUGGAAAAGGUGGGUUUGGAAAGGUAUUUGAUGCCGUUUCGAACAGCGGUGAGGCCUACGCGCUCAAGGUGUCAUCGAAGCGCAUGAGCGAAAAUGACUGGAAGCGACUGAAGGAGGAGGUGACGCUCAUGAGCCAUUUCUCGCGCCAUCCCAACAUUGUGAAAUUCUAUGCUGCUGGUAGGGAUGAAGAUCGCGCCUACGUAGUGAUGGAGCGGUGCGCAGGCAAGUCGCUUCAUGACGUCAUAGCCAGCAGGGGUCUUGAUGUGCCGGAGAUUUUGUGGAUUGGGUGGGCCCUGGUGAACACCAUCUCCUACAUUCAUUCCAAAGGCUGCAUUCACCGCGACCUGAAGCCACAGAAUCUCCUGUUUGACCACGAAGGUAAUUUGAAGAUUACAGAUUUCGGACUUUCCAGCCGCAUAUCAGAGGCGCAUCCUCGCAAGACGGUUGCCGGUACAGCAAUGUACAUGGCGCCUGAAAUGGCGACUGAGGUUUACAAGCGAAUGACAAAAAACUCGGACGCCCCUUCGCUGAGCUACGGGAAGGAGGUGGACACGUGGAGUAUUGGUGUGGUCCUCUACGUGCUCUUGACACGCAUGAAUCCGUAUCUCGAGGCGAUAGAACAGAAAGGUAUGCGCCAACUGGACAAGGAGCACAAGUCGCUUGCCCUCUUCAACGCUGUAGCGGGUGCUGCGUGGAGUUGGCCAAGGGAGUGGAGGGGAGAUCCACAGCUCUGCCGACUUGUGGAGCGCGUGCUGCACCGCGAACCGUCGCAGCGCGCCACGCUGAUGGAGGUGCUCGAGGACUCUGUGUGGAACCGCCGGCCACUGUCCUGCCCACUCUCGCUGCUCCAGAAGCUCAACUUGCUGGAACCUUCGCCGUCGAGUGGCCUGCCUCUGAACAACCUUGCCGAGAAUUUACAGUUCCGCCCGAAGCGAUCGGCGGAGGCGGUGCUGCGCGAAGGGCUAGAGCGUAUCGAAGCCACUGAGCAACGCGGCCGUGCGCAGCUGGAGCUUGAGUACUACGAAACCUACAAUGUCCUCUGGUGCCUCCUUACUCUGGCGCGGGCGGAAGAGGAUGCCAGGGCCGACAUCCUCCAGUCCGAGGAGGUGCAGCGAGGAAAGCUGCGCAAUCAGUCUCUGGCUCGCCAGUCUGCCCGUGGGAGGUGUGGCAGCGUCUCACUGGUGUCAGAGGUUGCCGAUCGCGAGGUAGCCGCAUCUCGCACGUCUCGAUCAGUGCGUCGAAGCGUCAGCUUGACCGAGCAGGAGCAGGGCAGACUGGUGCGUUCCAGCCCGGUCCAGUACGCAGUGGUGUACCCGGGGCGUGACACCGCCACUCGUUGGAACCUUCGCGCCGUGGUAUCGCUGCCACGCGACAUGACGGCCGAGAUCGAGCGCGAGUUCAAGUGCAUGAACGGGCACGUAAUGACAAAGUUGACCUCGAUGCCGCACGGCUACAACGGCUUCGACUGCAAUGUCUGCGAUCGCGGCAUUCUUAAGAUCACGGGCGAGUCGCCGGCCUUCCGAUGCUACAAGUGCGACUACGAUGUUUGCAUGAAAUGUGCGUAUUCCGGCAAGUUCAAAGACGUCAACUUUGUCUGUGUGACGUGCGCAAAGCGCUUCACCUCCACCGCAAAGCUGCAGGGGCAUACCUUGCGCUGUCGCGGCCCGAGCGAAAGUCCCUCACCGCGGCGAUCGUCUCGCAUGAACACGAUGCUCUGGGACGAGCCGAAGAGACCGAGCCUGCUGGAGGUACAGCUGCCUGAGGCUCCCCAGAGUGAGCCGAAGCUGCGCGCCAGCCGCUGCCGCUCCGGACGCCCCACAUAUAACCGCACAUCGACCGGUGGCCGCAUCAGCAUUGGAGACCCGAAUGCGCACAGUGUGGUGGACUUCGACGCAAUGGUGGCCGAGCACCGCGAGGCUGACUUUCCCAAGGUGAGUGCACGCGCGUCCGCCACCGGCCGCGAAUCCUCCCAGAAACGGGAGCGCGCAGGUAGUAGGCGUGGCCGACCAUCCACCUCGUCUAGCGGUAGCCUUUCACUAGACUUGCCGCCCCAGGUGCAGGUACCAAGCAAGGAGUCGCGCGCACAGGUGCAGCCGCGCAGUUCCGCCGAGCUGCGCGAUAUCAUGGAGGAGGUGGAGCAGCGGAAACAGGCACUGCCCCGUGACCCACUCUUGUCCGGGCCGGCCACACCGCCGCAGUACAACUGCAACGGUGAGAUCAUCGGCAUUGCUGCUCGUCGCCGCGCAGAGAGCCUGGAGAUGGCGCGCGCGGAAGUCAUCACAAUCCGCGCUGAGGUCGCGGACCGGCCCCGCGAGCUGCAGCAUCAGCCGCGUGUGCCGCGCAGCGCCUCCUCAUCGAGAGCGGAGAAGGGGCUUCAGGGUUCCCACAAGCGCCGUCGCGAGGAGUGGAAGCAGUCCGCGCGUGCGCCGUCUCCAUCCGGUACGGCGAAGCGAGCCGCCGUGGAGGAACACGUGGCGAAGCAUGCCAUCAUGCCGCCUCAGGUGCCACGCGGGCGAGCACAGCAGUCGCGUGCCCCCUCCGUUAGCGGGCACACCGCACAGGGCGGCCCACCACUGCCGCGCCGCGGCCCAGCCGCGCCAUUUCCUGCAGCCGCUUUGAAGGCCCACCUCGGUGCCUUCCAGGUCCCUGCUGCGAUUCCUCCUAAGAACUUUGCCUCCAUCCUGCCGUCGCGCUACUCCAUGACGAACGCAAUGGCGCCCACGUGCAACACUUCGACAACAAGGCCGGCGGACGGAGCAGGAGCUGCGGCUGCUGAUCUUGGCCGGGGGGGUGCUCCGACAUACAGCCAUGUGCUGGGCCGGCCCAACGGCGCCUUUUUGGCGUUGCCGCGCGAGGAGCGGAAUCGCCAGCAAUUCUUGGACGACUUUCUUAGUGGUGGCUGGGUGCGUUUCUACUCUUUUACAAACGAGGACACCGUCGUCAUGUACUACUCACUGCAGCCUGGUCGCUACGGGGCCAUGUUUCCGACCGAGGCAGGCGUCGGCACUGCUGUGUUGGACGUGUACUCGAAACUGGUCCUCUAUGUGCCGUGCAUGAACAACGAGAGCACGAACCGCAGUCAACCCCACCCACACGUACAAACGUUCUACGACGAAGAGGCGCGCAUUCUUAGCCUGCCUGAGGCGCAGCGGUACCUGGGCGGCGUACUACGCUGCAUCACUGGAUUUGUAGAUGAGUUUAGCCGCUUGAAGGCCGAGGGACUUACUCCGGCGGCGGUGCAUGCUGCCUACAUCCACCACCGUAGCAUGUCCCACGUGCCGCGGGAUACGAAGUUCGUGUACAUUCGCAAAGUAUUCCCCGACCCGUCUGGGUCUUUCACGCUGUUCCGCCUGUCGAACCUGCGCUCGCAAGUCGUUUGCAACGCUAUGGUGGACAUUCGCUGGCAGAGUGACCGACGCCACAACGUUGGCCAAAAGUAUUACAUCAACGCAGACGGCACCGCUGAGCCUUUUCUCGUUGAUCAAACCGGAAUUCUGUCGCAGCUGGAGACGGUCCUCAACAACAAUUUCAGGAGAUGAAGAGGACAGCGCAUCUUUACUUGGUUGAUUUCGUGUUUACAUGUAUCUUUUUCAUUGCUUCGCUGCGCUUUUUCCCACUUUUUGCUGUUGUUGCUAUCCUUAGAUUACCCUUGUGAAACGCCGCGCUAGAUGUGUGACCACGACGAGAGCCGUGGCACUGCGGCACUGCGAGCUGGUGAAGCUUGACAGGAACGACAAAGGAUGUCGCGGCGACACCGAUUCGCGUGGCGUUGUGGCCGAAUUUCGGACUGUAUGUGCACGCACGAAAUGAUGAGGUGUGUGCUGUGUGCCGUGCCAGAGCGCUACUUGAUCACAUUAUUCCCUACUCCUAUUACGAUGGUGUCUUUCUUCGCACCCCCACCCCCUCUGCCGCAGCCACCACUUCCACUCUCGAUCUCGUCACGCAUGUAUGUCAAUGCCUGUUCGUGUUGCUUUACCAGUUUUUCUUUCCGCCUUUUCGACCGCAUCCCCCUUCUCGCGUUUGCGUCCGUUUAAGCACUCGUCCUUCCUCAUAGAACGAAGAAGCUACGCAGAGAGGCAAGCGGUGUAAGAGGAAGAGGAGGGAGAGGGGGAGGGGAGUGAGGGGUGUAGAAGCAGUCGACGUGCUCUCCGUUUCUCAUUUCUGCUGGAGUUGUUGUCCCCUGUAUUGCUCUUGUCGCGGCGUUCUUCGCGGCUACCUCUGCUCCCCGUCUACCACUUCCAGCGUCGCCUCCGCCUCUUCCUUUUCUUGUUUUUUUUCCAGCUUCUGCAUCUUCAUGGUUUCCAGUUUUGAUAUCUGUUUUGGCGCCAUAGAAUUGUGAUUCUCUUCCGUUUCCGUUCCUUCCGGAACUUUUUUGUUGAUUUGGGUUUCACUCCGUGUUGCGCUGAGCGGAUCAGCUGACCGUACAUACACUCCGCCCACCCCCUUUUGUGCUCUCCUGCGCCUUCCUGCCACAGGUGCUUUCCAUGUGACUUGUCCGUCUUUCUCCCUGAACGACGACAACAAACAACAACAUAAAGAAAUGUGCGGGGGACGUCGCCUGCAUCGAGCGCGUGCCCCCCCCCUCCCCCUCCUUCUGCGAGCCGCACUCGCGCACGUGACACGAUGGAGCGCGCUGCUUUUUUUUUUUUUCGCUUUGUCGCACGCUUCCAUUUUGUUGGCGGCGCUCUCGCUCUGUAGGCGAGACGGCGUAAGCGCGGGAAAAUGUCUUCGGUGUGCUGUCGUGUCCGCCAGAUGAUGUGUUGGCUCUCUGCACACUGGAGCGUUUCAACAACAAAAAAUGG
rnacentral:misc_RNA from 1 species